rnacentral:lncRNA from 1 species
GAGACUGGAGAGGAAGGACAUCACAAGAUACCAAGCACCAUAUUGUCAAGAUGAUCAAGUUUUGCUUUAUUGCUGCACUGCUCAUCUUUGCUGGCUUCCCAGCACAUACAGAGAGUACUAGUGAGUGCAGCCAAGAUUCGGACUGCAGUUGCUCUCACUGUACUUACGGAGGCAACCCUCACUGUACCCUAACAUGCACUGGAGCUUGCUCGUGUGGUGGGUGCGUCAUUUAGACACUCUGAUAUGGCCCAACAAGACUUCCAAGCUAAACAGAUCAUGGGAUGCUGUGCAAAUUUUCAUAAUUUUUGCAAUAGCUUGGAAAGAAAAUCAAUAAUUAAAA